UACGUAGGGUGCGAGCGUUGUCCGGAAUUAUUGGGCGUAAAGAGCUUGUAGGUGGUUUGUCGCGUCUGCUGUGAAAAUCCGGGGCUCAACCCCGGACUUGUAGUGGGUACGGGCAGACUAGAGUGUGGUAGGGGAGACUGGAAUUCCUGGUGUAGCGGUGAAAUGCGCAGAUAUCAGGAGGAACACCGAUGGCGAAGGCAGGUCUCUGGGCCACUACUGACGCUGAGAAGCGAAAGCAUGGGGAGCGAACAGG
rnacentral:rRNA from 1 species